rnacentral:rRNA from 1 species
UGGGGAAUAUUGGACAAUGGGCGCAAGCCUGAUCCAGCCAUGCCGCGUGAGUGAUGAAGGCCCUAGGGUUGUAAAGCUCUUUCAACGGUGAAGAUAAUGACGGUAGCCGUAGAAGAAGCCCCGGCUAACUUCGUGCCAGCAGCCGCGGUAAUACGAAGGGGGCUAGCGUUGUUCGGAAUUACUGGGCGUAAAGCGCACGUAGGCGGAUUGAUUAGUCAGAGGUGAAAUCCCGCAGCUUAACUGCGGAACUGCCUUUGAUACUGUCUGUCUAGAGGUCGAGAGAGGUGAGUGGAAUUCCGAGUGUAGAGGUGAAAUUCGUAGAUAUUCGGAGGAACACCAGUGGCGAAGGCGGCUCACUGGCUCGAUACUGACGCUGAGGUGCGAAAGCGUGGGGAGCAAACAGG